rnacentral:rRNA from 1 species
GGGAAUAUUGCACAAUGGGGGAAACCCUGAUGCAGCAACGCCGCGUGGGUGAAGAAGGUCUUCGGAUCGUAAAACCCUGUUGUUAGAGAAGAACGUGCGUGAGAGUAACGGUUCACGUUUCGACGGUAUCUAACCAGAAAGCCACGGCUAACUACGUGCCAGCAGCCGCGGUAAUACGUAGGUGGCAAGCGUUGUCCGGAUUUAUUGGGCGUAAAGCGAGCGCAGGCGGUUGCUUAAGUCUGAUGUGAAAGCCCCUGGCUCAACCGGGGAGGGUCAUUGGAAACUGGGAGACUUGAGUGCAGAAGAGGAGAGUGGAACUCCAUGUGUAGCGGUGAAAUGCGUAGAUAUAUGGAAGAACACCAGUGGCGAAAGCGGCUCUCUGGUCUGUAACUGACGCUGAGGUUCGAAAGCGUGGGUAGCA